rnacentral:sRNA from 1 species
GACUACUUCAGACACAUGAUGUAUGACAACAUACAAAGGAGGAAGUGCCUUUUGGUAACUGAUUUAUUUCAAUGAGCUGUCUCCCAUGAUGAUGAUGACCAAGAUGUGCAGAGGUCUAUUGUUG